UAAAACCGUGUGGGUCGCUUAGCAACGGCGAACAACGUUCAAGAAUGCGCACCGCACCUGCUCGCAUGCCCGGUUUUAUCACGAUUUGAUAGUGGUGCGAAUCGUUGCAAAAGCGGUUAUGCAAAUUUAAUUAUUCAGUCUGACUGAAAUUUGCGAUUUUUUAUCUAAAACGAGAAAAAAUCUACACUAUCUCAAAACUGUCAGCAAUUCGCGGUUGUAGGAAUAUUUCAAGGCACGUGGCGCUACCUGGAAUUAUUACCUGGUGAACGCGCAGUUGAUCGAUAAAAAAAAAUCCAAGAGGUCCGCUGCUACGACUAUACGUUAUAUCCAGUUCAUCUAUCGGUAUAAAUCCAUUAAAAGGCGCAUCCGGCUCUAAAGGCAC
rnacentral:misc_RNA from 1 species